UAAGGCUGAGCUGUGAUGGCGAGGGAAAUAUAGUACCGAAGUUCCUGAUUCCACACUGCCAAGAAAAGCCUCUAGCGAGAUGAAGGGUGCCCGUACCGCAAACCGACACAGGUAGGCGAGGAGAGAAUCCUAAGGUGUGCGAGAGAACUCUCGUUAAGGAACUCGGCAAAAUGACCCCGUAACUUCGGGAGAAGGGGUGCUCAUUUGGGUGAAUAGCCUAGAUGAGCCGCAGUGAAUAGGCCCAGGCGACUGUUUAGCAAAAACACAGGUCUCUGCGAAGCCGCAAGGCGAAGUAUAGGGGCUGACGCCUGCCCGGUGCUGGAAGGUUAAGGGGAGAGGUUAGCGCAAGCGAAGCUUUGAACCGAAGCCCCAGUAAACGGCGGCCGUAACUAUAACGGUCCUAAGGUAGCGAAAUUCCUUGUCGGGUAAGUUCCGACCCGCACGAAAGGCGUAACGAUCUGGGCACUGUCUCAACGAGAGACUCGGUGAAAUUAUACUACCUGUGAAGAUGCAGGUUACCCGCGACAGGACGGAAAGACCCCGUGGAGCUUUACUGCAGCCUGAUAUUGAAUUUUGGUACAGCUUGUACAGGAUAGGUAGGAGCCUGAGAAGCCGGAGCGCCAGCUUCGGUGGAGGCAUUGGUGGGAUACUACCCUGGCUGUAUUGAAAUUCUAACCCGCGCCCCUUAUCGGGGCGGGAGACAGUGUCAGGCGGGCAGUUUGACUGGGGCGGUCGCCUCCUAAAGAGUAACGGAGGCGCCCAAAGGUUCCCUCAGAAUGGUUGGAAAUCAUUCGUAGAGUGUAAAGGCACAAGGGAGCUUGACUGCGAGACCUACAAGUCGAGCAGGGACGAAAGUCGGGCUUAGUGAUCCGGUGGUUCCGCAUGGAAGGGCCAUCGCUCAACGGAUAAAAGCUACCCCGGGGAUAACAGGCUUAUCUCCCCCAAGAGUCCACAUCGACGGGGAGGUUUGGCACCUCGAUGUCGGCUCAUCGCAUCCUGGGGCUGUAGUCGGUCCCAAGGGUUGGGCUGUUCGCCCAUUAAAGCGGUACGCGAGCUGGGUUCAGAACGUCGUGAGACAGUUCGGUCCCUAUCCGUCGUGGGCGCAGGAAAUUUGAGAGGAGCUGUCCUUAGUACGAGAGGACCGGGAUGGACGCACCGCUGGUGUACCAGUUGUCUUGCCAAAGGCAUCGCUGGGUAGCUAUGUGCGGACGGGAUAAGUGCUGAAAGCAUCUAAGCAUGAAGCCCCCCUCAAGAUGAGAUUUCCCAUAGCGUCAAGCUAGUAAGAUCCCUGAAAGAUGAUCAGGUAGAUAGGUCUGAGGUGGAAGCGUGGUGACACGUGGAGCUGACAGAUACUAAUCGAUCGAGGACUUAACCUA
rnacentral:rRNA from 1 species